rnacentral:rRNA from 1 species
UACGUAGGGGGCAAGCGUUGUCCGGAUUUACUGGGCUUAAAGAGUUCGUAGGCGGCGCAGAAAGUCGGGUGUGAAAGCCCACGGCUCAACCGUGGAGGGUCAUUGGAAACUGGGGGACUUGAGUACAGAAGAGAAGAGUGGAAUUCCACGUGUAGCGGUGAAAUGCUUAGAUAUCGUCAAGAACACCGAUAGUGUAGACAGCUAACUAAGCUUUAACUGACGCUGAGGCACGAAAGUGUGGGGAUCAAACAGG